rnacentral:misc_RNA from 1 species
UUAAAAACACAUUUUUACCAAACAUUACAAUCUUAUUAAUCCGAUUUAACAUAAAGGUAUUAAGCAAGUUACUAAAUUAAUAACUUAAAACUUAAACUUCUGACGCCUAUUCUCUUGAAAGUAGAAGCAUAAUAAAAUAACACACUAAAAUCAAAAUGACAAUAAUUCACCAAAACCGAGUGCUUAUACAAACAUAACAGUGAUAAAUAAGAUUAAACAAUAAUGGACAAGUGAC